UCCAGACUCCUACGGGAGGCAGCAGUGGGGGAUAUUGCACAAUGGAGGAAACUCUGAUGCAGCGACGCCGCGUGAAGGAAGACGGUUUUCGGAUUGUAAACUUCUGUUCUUAGUGAAGAAUAAUGACGGUAACUAAGGAGCAAGCCACGGCUAACUACGUGCCAGCAGCCGCGGUAAUACGUAGGGGGCAAGCGUUAUCCGGAAUUACUGGGUGUAAAGGGAGCGUAGACGGCUGUGCAAGUCUGGAGUGAAAGGCGGGGGCCCAACCCCCGGACUGCUCUGGAAACUGUAUGGCUGGAGUGCAGGAGAGGUAAGCGGAAUUCCUAGUGUAGCGGUGAAAUGCGUAGAUAUUAGGAGGAACACCAGUGGCGAAGGCGGCUUACUGGACUGUAACUGACGUUGAGGCUCGAAAGCGUGGGGAGCAAACAGGAUUAGAUACCCUGGUAAA
rnacentral:rRNA from 1 species